rnacentral:snoRNA from 1 species
GGUCAGUGAUGUCAUGGCAUGUAUUAGCUGAAUGCUAACAUGAUGCAAAUUCUCAAGUGAUACUGAGACCUU